UACGUAGGGCGCAAGCGUUAUCCGGAAUUAUUGGGCGUAAAGAGUUCGUAGGCGGCCUGUUGCGUCCGCUGUGAAAGCCCGGGGCUUAACCCCGGGUCGGCAGUGGAUACGGGCAGGCUAGAGGUAGGUAGGGGAGAAUGGAAUUCCCGGUGUAGCGGUGAAAUGCGCAGAUAUCGGGAGGAACACCGGUGGCGAAGGCGGUUCUCUGGGCCUUACCUGACGCUGAGGAGCGAAAGCGUGGGGAGCGAACAGG
rnacentral:rRNA from 1 species